UUGGGUGCUGACGGUGGGGGUUA
rnacentral:piRNA from 1 species